rnacentral:rRNA from 1 species
GUAGGUGGCGAACGUUGUCCGGAUUCACUGGGCGUAAAGCGCGCGCAGGCGGACUGGUCAGUCCAGGGGUGAAAUCUCCCGGGCUCAACUGGGAGGAGUCCCCGGAUACUGCCAGUCUUGAGGUGCCUAGAGGAGAGUGGAAUUCAGGGUGUAGUGGUGGAAUGCGUAGAUAUCCUGAGGAACACCAGUGGCGAAAGCGACUCUCUGGGGGCGACCUGACGCUGAGGCGCGAAAGCGUGGGGAGCGAACCGGAUUAGAUACCCGGGUAGUCCACGCCGUAAACGAUGAGUACUAGCUGUAUGGGGUAUCGACUCCCUGUGUAGCGAAGCUAACGCGAUAAGUACUCCGCCUGGGGACUACGGCCGCAAGGCUA